rfam:Parcubacteria bacterium GW2011_GWF2_38_8 TT09_C0017, whole genome shotgun sequence.
GGAGGGUUGCGCCGAAUGGUAAGGCACUUGUCUUGAAAACAAGCGGGCGAAAGCCCUUAGAGGUUCGAGUCCUCUACCCUCCG